GACGAACGCUGGCGGCGUGCCUAACACAUGCAAGUCAAGGGGGCCCAGUAGCAAUACUGGGCAACCGGCGAACGGGUGCGUAACACGUGAGCAACCUACCGAAAUGUGGGGGAUAGCCGGCCUAACGGCCGAGUAAUACCGCAUACGCUCUCGAUGAGGCAUUUCAUUGAGAGGAAACCUACGGGACGAUUUCGAGGGGCUCGCGGCCUAUCAGCUAGUUGGCGAGGUAACGGCUCACCAAGGCAACGACGGGUAGCUGGUCUGAGAGGAUGGCAGCCACAUUGGGACUGAGAUACGGCCCAGACUCCUACGGGAGGCAGCAGUGGGGAAUCUUGCGCAAUGGGCGAAAGCCUGACGCAGCGAC
rnacentral:rRNA from 1 species